rnacentral:rRNA from 1 species
UAGCCUGAAGAUGAGCUCGCGUCCGAUUAGCUAGUUGGCGGAGUAAAAGCCCACCAAGGCGACGAUCGGUAGCUGGUCUGAGAGGACGAUCAGCCACACUGGGACUGAGACACGGCCCAGACUCCUACGGGAGGCAGCAGUGGGGUCAGUGACGAAGCCUUCGGGGUGACCCGGGGUAGAACGACCUCUAGUGCAGAUCUUGGUGGUAGUAGCAAAUACUCAAAUGAGAACUUUGAGGACUGAAGUGGGGAAAGGUUCCGUGUGAACAGCAGUUGGACACGGGUUAGUCGAUCCUAAGACAUAGGGAAACUCCGUUUUAAAGUGCGCACUUGUGCGCCGCCUGUCGAAAGGGAAG